CCUGCCAAGCCUCUUAAUAAAGCUCAAAUAGGCAGGU
rfam:Bacteroidales bacterium Barb7 Barb7_contig_318, whole genome shotgun sequence.